rnacentral:rRNA from 1 species
CAGCCGCCGCGGUAAUACAGAGGGUGCAAGCGUUAAUCGGAAUUACUGGGCGUAAAGCGCGCGUAGGUGGUUCGUUAAGUUGGAUGUGAAAUCCCCGGGCUCAACCUGGGAACUGCAUUCAAAACUGACGAGCUAGAGUAUGGUAGAGGGUGGUGGAAUUUCCUGUGUAGCGGUGAAAUGCGUAGAUAUAGGAAGGAACACCAGUGGCGAAGGCGACCACCUGGACUGAUACUGACACUGAGGUGCGAAAGCGUGGGGAGCAAGCAGGACUAGAUACCCUGGUAGUCCACGCCGUAAACGAUGUCAACUAGCCGUUGGGAGCCUUGAGCUCUUAGUGGCGCAGCUAACGCAUUAAGUUGACCGCCUGGGGAGUACGGCCGCAAGGUUAAAACUCAAAUGAAUUGACGG